rnacentral:rRNA from 1 species
GAGCGGCGAACGGGUGAGUAAUGCUUUGGAAUCUUCCCAGUAGUGGGGAAUAACCAGUCGAAAGAUUGGCUAAUACCGCAUACGUCUAAAGGGAGAGCGGGGGCGUAAGACCUCGCGCUAUUGGAUGAGCCAAAGUCGGAUUAGCUAGUUGGUGGGGUAAUGGCCUACCAAGGCGACAAUCCGUAGCUGGUCUGAGAGGACGACCAGCCACACCGGAACUGAGACACGGUCCGGACUCCUACGGGAGGCAGCAGUGGGGAAUAUUGGACAAUGGGGGAAACCCUGAUCCAGCGACGCCGCGUGUGUGAAGAAGGCCUGCGGGUUGUAAAGCACUUUUAGUGGGGACAAAAAGCUACGGAUUAAUACUCUGUGGUCUUGAUUUAACCCAAAGAAAAAGCACCGGCUAACUCUGUGCCAGCAGCCGCGGUAAUACAGAGGGUGCGAGCGUUAAUCGGAAUUACUGGGCGUAAAGCGCGCGUAGACGGUUUUGUAAGUCAGAUGUGAAAUCCCUGGGCUCAACCUGGGAACUGCAUUUGAAACUGCAUGGCUAGAGUAUCGAAGAAGGAAGUGGAAUUUCCGGUGUAGCGGUGAAAUGCGUAGAUAUCGGAAGGAACACCAGUGGCGAAAGCGACUUCCUGGUCGAAUAC